GACAGAGGCCUCGAGCGUAGGCGGAAUCACUGGGCUUAAAGCGUGUGUAGGCGGAUCGUUAAGUGCCUUGUGAAAUCCCACGGCUUAACUGUGGAACGGCUGGGCAUACUGGCGGUCUUGAGCCAUCUAGGGGCGACUGGAACAAACGGUGGAGCGGUGAAAUGCGUAGAUAAUCGUUUGGAACGCCAAUGGUGAAAACAGGUCGCUGGGGAUGAGCUGACGCCUGAGAACACGAAAGCCAGGGGAGCAAACGGG
rnacentral:rRNA from 1 species